rnacentral:rRNA from 1 species
GAUGAACGCUAGCGGGAGGCCUAAUACAUGCAAGUCGAGCGGUAGAGUGACUUCGGUUGCUUGAGAGCGGCGAACGGGUGAGUAACGCGUACACAAUCUACCUUUAAGAGGGGAAUAGCCCUGGGAAACUGGGAUUAAUGCCCCAUGGCAUCACGAGACGGCAUCGUUUUGUGAUUAAAGCUGAGGUGCUUAGAGAUGAGUGUGCGUCUGAUUAGCUAGUUGGUGCGGUAACGGCGCACCAAGGCGACGAUCAGUAGGGGGCGUGAGAGCGUGGACCCCCACACGGGUACUGAGACACGGACCCGACUCCUACGGGGAGGCAGCAGUAAGGAAUAUUGGUCAAUGGAGGAAACUCUGAACCAGCCAUCCCGCGUGCAGGAAGAAUGCCCUAUGGGUUGUAAACUGCUUUUAUCUGGGAAGAAAAGUCGGGAUUUAUCCUGAUCUGACGGUACCAGAGGAAUAAGCACCGGCUAACUCCGUGCCAGCAGCCGACGG